UUAAGCGACUAAGCGUACACGGUGGAUGCCCUGGCAGUCAGAGGCGAUGAAGGACGUGCUAAUCUGCGAUAAGCGUCGGUAAGGUGAUAUGAACCGUUAUAACCGGCGAUUUCCGAAUGGGGAAACCCAGUGUGUUUCGACACACUAUCAUUAACUGAAUCCAUAGGUUAAUGAGGCGAACCGGGGGAACUGAAACAUCUAAGUACCCCGAGGAAAAGAAAUCAACCGAGAUUCCCCCAGUAGCGGCGAGCGAACGGGGAGCAGCCCAGAGCCUGAAUCAGUAUGUGUGUUAGUGGAAGCGUCUGGAAAGGCGCGCGAUACAGGGUGACAGCCCCGUACACAAAAAUGCACAUGCUGUGAGCUCGAUGAGUAGGGCGGGACACGUGGUAUCCUGUCUGAUAUGGGGGACCAUCCUCCAAGGCUAAUACUCCUGACUGACCGAUAGUGACCAGUACCGUGAGGGAAAGGCGAAAAAGAACCCCGGCGAGGGGAGUGAAAAAGAACCUGAAACCGUGUACGUACAAGCAGUGGGAGCACAGAGCAAUCUGUGUGACUGCGUACCUUCUGUAUAAUGGGUCAGCGACUUUAUAUUCUGUAGCAAGGUUAACCGAAUAGGGGAGCCGAAGGGAAACCGAGUCUUAACUGGGCGUUAAGUUGCAGGGUAUAGACCCGAAACCCGGUGAUCUAGCCAUGGGCAGGUUGAAGGUUGGGUAACACUAACUGGAGGACCGAACCGACUAAUGUUGAAAAAUUAGCGGAUGACUUGUGGCUGGGGGUGAAAGGCCAAUCAAACCGGGAGAUAGCUGGUUCUCCCCGAAAGCUAUUUAGGUAGCGCCUCGUGAAUUCAUCUCCGGGGGUAGAGCACUGUUUCGGCAAGGGGGUCAUCCCGACUUACCAACCCGAUGCAAACUGCGAAUACCGGAGAAUGUUAUCACGGGAGACACACGGCGGGUGCUAACGUCCGUCGUGAAGAGGGAAACAACCCAGACCGCCAGCUAAGGUCCCAAAGUCAUGGUUAAGUGGGAAACGAUGUGGGAAGGCCCAGACAGCCAGGAUGUUGGCUUAGAAGCAGCCAUCAUUUAAAGAAAGCGUAAUAGCUCACUGGUCGAGUCGGCCUGCGCGGAAGAUGUAACGGGGCUAAACCAUGCACCGAAGCUGCGGCAGCGACGCUUAUGCGUUGUUGGGUAGGGGAGCGUUCUGUAAGCCUGUGAAGGUGUGCUGUGAGGCAUGCUGGAGGUAUCAGAAGUGCGAAUGCUGACAUAAGUAACGAUAAAGCGGGUGAAAAGCCCGCUCGCCGGAAGACCAAGGGUUCCUGUCCAACGUUAAUCGGGGCAGGGUGAGUCGACCCCUAAGGCGAGGCCGAAAGGCGUAGUCGAUGGGAAACAGGUUAAUAUUCCUGUACUUGGUGUUACUGCGAAGGGGGGACGGAGAAGGCUAUGUUGGCCGGGCGACGGUUGUCCCGGUUUAAGCGUGUAGGCUGGUUUUCCAGGCAAAUCCGGAAAAUCAAGGCUGAGGCGUGAUGACGAGGCACCACGGUGCUGAAGCAACAAAUGCCCUGCUUCCAGGAAAAGCCUCUAAGCAUCAGGUAACAUCAAAUCGUACCCCAAACCGACACAGGUGGUCAGGUAGAGAAUACCAAGGCGCUUGAGAGAACUCGGGUGAAGGAACUAGGCAAAAUGGUGCCGUAACUUCGGGAGAAGGCACGCUGAUAUGUAGGUGAAGUCCCUCGCGGAUGGAGCUGAAAUCAGUCGAAGAUACCAGCUGGCUGCAACUGUUUAUUAAAAACACAGCACUGUGCAAACACGAAAGUGGACGUAUACGGUGUGACGCCUGCCCGGUGCCGGAAGGUUAAUUGAUGGGGUUAGCGCAAGCGAAGCUCUUGAUCGAAGCCCCGGUAAACGGCGGCCGUAACUAUAACGGUCCUAAGGUAGCGAAAUUCCUUGUCGGGUAAGUUCCGACCUGCACGAAUGGCGUAAUGAUGGCCAGGCUGUCUCCACCCGAGACUCAGUGAAAUUGAACUCGCUGUGAAGAUGCAGUGUACCCGCGGCAAGACGGAAAGACCCCGUGAACCUUUACUAUAGCUUGACACUGAACAUUGAGCCUUGAUGUGUAGGAUAGGUGGGAGGCUUUGAAGUGUGGACGCCAGUCUGCAUGGAGCCGACCUUGAAAUACCACCCUUUAAUGUUUGAUGUUCUAACGUUGACCCGUAAUCCGGGUUGCGGACAGUGUCUGGUGGGUAGUUUGACUGGGGCGGUCUCCUCCUAAAGAGUAACGGAGGAGCACGAAGGUUGGCUAAUCCUGGUCGGACAUCAGGAGGUUAGUGCAAUGGCAUAAGCCAGCUUGACUGCGAGCGUGACGGCGCGAGCAGGUGCGAAAGCAGGUCAUAGUGAUCCGGUGGUUCUGAAUGGAAGGGCCAUCGCUCAACGGAUAAAAGGUACUCCGGGGAUAACAGGCUGAUACCGCCCAAGAGUUCAUAUCGACGGCGGUGUUUGGCACCUCGAUGUCGGCUCAUCACAUCCUGGGGCUGAAGUAGGUCCCAAGGGUAUGGCUGUUCGCCACUUAAAGUGGUACGCGAGCUGGGUUUAGAACGUCGUGAGACAGUUCGGUCCCUAUCUGCCGUGGGCGCUGGAGAACUGAGGGGGGCUGCUCCUAGUACGAGAGGACCGGAGUGGACGCAUCACUGGUGUUCGGGUUGUCAUGCCAAUGGCACUGCCCGGUAGCUAAAUGCGGAAGAGAUAAGUGCUGAAAGCAUCUAAGCACGAAACUUGCCCCGAGAUGAGUUCUCCCUGACUCCUUGAGAGUCCUGAAGGAACGUUGAAGACGACGACGUUGAUAGGCCGGGUGUGUAAGCGCAGCGAUGCGUUGAGCUAACCGGUACUAAUGAACCGUGAGGCUUAACCUU
rnacentral:rRNA from 1 species